GAAGAUUGCAAUAUAAAAAGUAUAUUAUGAUAUAACUUAUACAUACAUUCUCUUGAAAUUACAACUACAGUAGGUUCAUAAGGGGGGCCUGAAAUUACAAAUACAGUAGGUUCCUAAGGGGGGCCUGAAAUUACAAAUAUAGUAGGUUCAUAAGGGGGCCUGAAAUUACAACUACAGUAGGUUCAUAAGGGGGGAAAGCAUAUCAC
rnacentral:lncRNA from 1 species